ensembl:lncRNA
AUUCACAGCACUAGGAACUCAACGUCUUUGGCAGGGGGCCCAGAAGAAUGCUUGGAAGACCAGCCUCUGACACCAUCGGUGAGCGGAUGGGUGCAGAAAUUCAUUAUUCCAGAUCGCUGACGGAUAUCACAUAUUUGAAAAGAUGAAUAGGGUGGACAUGGCUCAGAUGUGUGUCUCCCAGGACAAGUGUUUCAUCUUCACUUGACGAGCUAUUUAGUGGAAAAACCACAGGGGCAGCCCUUUGACAGGCAUCCCAUUCAUCAAAAGUGUCUAACUAUUUGAUACCGGGGAGAUAACUUAUUUUUCUUUUUUCAUUGGCUUGACAUGUGUAUCUGUUCAUAUCAAGGUUUAUAAAUAUAUAUUUUUAAUAAAUGUGCUCUAUUUUUUAGCAUGAACCAAAUACUUGGAGAGGCGCUCCCAGAUCCAUAGAGCUUUCCUUAGUUUUAUCUGCUUUGUCCCCUUCUCCCCCAACUGCAGAUGUUCUAUUGUGGAACCAUUCUAGUCCUUUUGUCUCAUCUUGAAUCUUUUACUUUUGCGCUCUUGUCCUUCUCUCUCCUUCUCUCUCUCUCUGCCUCUUUGGUCUGAAGGACAUUUUCCCAUACUGUCAGCCAUGGUUUUGGGUGCAUGUUUUAAGAUUGUCCAUUGAGUGGCUUUUUGUUGUUAUCUCGGGGCUAUAAAAUGAUUGUGGGCAUGCAGACCCUAGAUGCACCCUAUCUUUACUGAGAAUUAUGCAUGAAUAAGGGCUGAGUGAUAGAUCAGCUUAAAAUUAAAAGGACUACCGUUGAGGAAGAAGAGCGUGGCUAUAUUUGCAGAUGAACUUUUGAACAGAAUAUUCAGCUUCUUACUGGCAGCGUUAUUGUUUCAUUCUCUUGUGACCACUCGUUUAUCAGAUUUUGAUUUUAGCCAUCAUGUACCGUGAGAGUUGGGAAGAACAAGGUGGAAAGCUCAGUAUUAGGUGCAUUACUCCUUCCUUUGCAAGAUACCUGGGAUCCUCUUCAAAAGCAGGUGGGGUAUAAAUGACACAAGAACUCCCCCAUGAGAGCUCAUGGUGGUUCAGGCUAUGAGGACAGCCCUGUGACAAGUGACUUUUCAGGGGCAUGAGGAGGGGAUUUAAUGAUUGCCCUAAAGGACUGCUGUAUUUUUAAAGCCCCUGGUUUACACCCACAUGAAGCUACUUCGUCUCUGGCAGGGAUGGUUGCAUAAAAACAAAUUAGCUCCCUUCUCCUGGCUCCCUGAAAUGGGCCCUUGCCUGGCUACGGUGGCAUGACCUUAAAGAGAGGGUUAGUAUUCCUUCUGCCACGCCAGCUGUAUUAGUCUGUUUUCACACUGCUGAUAAAGACAUCCCCAAGACUGGGCAAUUUACAAAAGAAAGAGGUUUAUUGGACUUACAGUUCCACGUGGCUGAGGAGGCCUCACAACUACGGUGGAAGGUGAAAGGCACGUCUCACGUGGUGGCAGACAAGAGAAGUGAACAUGUGCAAGGAGACUCCCAUUUUUAAAACAGAUCUCGUGAGACUUAUUCACUAUCAUGCAAACAGCAUGGGAAACCUGCCCCCGUGAUUCAGUUACCUCCCACCAGGGCCCUCCCACAACACAUGGGUAUUCAAGAUGAGAUUUGGGUGGGGUUACAGCCAAACUCUAUCACCAGCCUUGCCCCUGGGCAGAAGCAGCAGCAGUCUGCCUGGCUGGAUUCAAAUGAUUCUGAGGCUUCUAAAGUCUAUGCCUCCAGAUCUCUCCCUCACCCAUGUUAUGGUAUCUGAAAUUCCACCAUUAGAGAGUCAUUUCUUGGGCUCUGUUAAAGGGACCAGGCUCUUUUAUAAAGCAAAUGCCCCUGAGAAGCUGGCUCUGGCAUUGAUUUAUCAGGUAUCUUCUCUUCCCUGCCAGAAGGAAGGAAGCUAAGGUGCAUGUAGGUUACACUGUGUGCCCAGGCACUGUGCCAGAUGCUUUGGAUACUUGGAGUCAUUGAAUUCUCAUAGUAACCCUGUGAGAGAGGGAGUCUUUCCCCCACAUUGUAGAAGAAGGAAAAAGGGCUCAGAGAGGUCAAGAAAUGUCCCUGAGAUCACAUGGCUCCUAGUGGAGUCAGGAUCCAAACCCGAUGUGUCAGAUUCCUUAGCCCUUGGGGGUCCAGAGGCUGCUGAACAAGAAAGGAGGUGGAGAGGAGAGAAAGCUGCAGGAAUACCACUGCACACCCUUCUCCCUUCCCUGUAAAAACAACCCUGGGAACUCCCUGGACACUAGCAGAAUAUCAUACACUAAGGACAAGGGACGAGAGGAGGCUGGUUAGAAAUAAAGCAGUGUCAGGGGGAAGGAGCUACUCAGUAGGCUCUGUGUGAUUUUAGAAAGACUGUAUGAAAAUUCUGAACGGUGAACAGAAUAAACAAUAAAGGUGCAAU